rnacentral:tRNA from 1 species
GCCGCGCCCGGCGGGAGGUCGGGCGCGGGCGACUGACGGUCGUCGAUCGGGCGGUCGCCGAUCGCGUCGGCGGCGCCGCCCC